rnacentral:tRNA from 1 species
GCCCCGGUGGCGGAAUUGGCAUACGCGGCAGGUUGAGGGCCUGUGCCCGUACGGGCGUGGUGGUUCGAGUCCACUCCGGGGCACCU